rnacentral:rRNA from 1 species
AUUGAACGCUGGCGGCAUGCUUUACACAUGCAAGUCGAACGGUAACAGGCCUUCGGGUGCUGACGAGUGGCGCACGGGUGAGUAAUGCAUCGGAACGUGCCCAGAGGUUGGGGAUAACGCAGCGAAAGCUGUGCUAAUACCGCAUGUGAUCUGAGGAUGAAAGCGGGGGACCAAGCAGCAAUGUUUGGCCUCGCGCCUCUGGAGCGGCCGAUGUCAGAUUAGGUAGUUGGUGGGGUAAAGGCCUACCAAGCCGACGAUCUGUAGCUGGUCUGAGAGGACGACCAGCCACACUGGGACUGAGACACGGCCCAGACUCCUACGGGAGGCAGCAGUGGGGAAUGUGGGACAAUGGGCGCAAGUCUGAUCCAGCAAUGCCGCGUGCGGGAAGAAGGCCUUCGGGUUGUAAACCGCUUUUGUACGGAACGAAAAGGCUCUGGCUAAUACCUGGGGCUGAUGACGGUACCGUAAGAAUAAGCACCGGCUAACUACGUG